GCCAAUACCGGUGGCUAAUGACGGUACCUGAAGAAUAAGCACCGGCUAACUACUGCCAGCAGCCGCGGUAAUACGUAGGGUGCAAGCGUUAAUCGGAAUUACUGGGCGUAAAGCGUGCGCAGGCGGUCAUGCAAGACAGAUGUGAAAUCCCCGGGCUCAACCUGGGAACUGCAUUUGUGACUGCAUGACUUGAGUACGGUAGAGGGGGAUGGAAUUCCGCGUGUAGCAGUGAAAUGCGUAGAUAUGCGGAGGAACACCGAUGGCGAAGGCAAUCCCCUGGACCUGUACUGACGCUCAUGCACGAAAGCGUGGGGAGCAAACAGGAUUAGAUACCCUGGUAGUCCACGCCCUAAACGAUGUCAACUGGUUGUUGGGAGGGUUUUCUUCUCAGUAACGAAGCUAACGCGUGAAGUUGACCGCCUGGGGAGUACGGCCGCAAGGUUGAAACUCAAAGG
rnacentral:rRNA from 1 species